GAAACACGAACUAAUUCACGCGAACGUGUUUGUUUUUUGUUUUUGUUGUUGUUUUUGUUCUUUUCUUCUUGUCGAUAUUGAUA
rnacentral:ribozyme from 1 species